rnacentral:rRNA from 14 species
CUUAGAUGUUCUGGGCUGCACGCGCGCUACACUGAUGUGUUCAACAU